rnacentral:rRNA from 1 species
GACGAACGCUGGCGGCGUGCUUAACACAUGCAAGUCGAACGGAAAGGCCCUGCUUUUGUGGGGUGCUCGAGUGGCGAACGGGUGAGUAACACGUGAGUAACCUGCCCUUGACUUUGGGAUAACUUCAGGAAACUGGGGCUAAUACCGGAUAGGAGCUCCUGCUGCAUGGUGGGGGUUGGAAAGUUUCGGCGGUUGGGGAUGGACUCGCGGCUUAUCAGCUUGUUGGCGGGGUAGUGGCUUACCAAGGCUUUGACGGGUAGCCGGCCUGAGAGGGUGACCGGCCACAUUGGGACUGAGAUACGGCCCAGACUCCUACGGGAGGCAGCAGUGGGGAAUAUUGCACAAUGGGCGGAAGCCUGAUGCAGCAACGCCGCGCGCGGGAUGACGGCCUUCGGGUUGUAAACCGCUUUCGCCUGUGACGAAGCGUGAGUGACGGUAAUGGGUAAAGAAGCACCGGCUAACUACGUG